rnacentral:rRNA from 1 species
AUUGAACGCUGGCGGCAGGCCUAACACAUGCAAGUCGAACGAGUGGCGGACGGGUGAGUAAUGUCUGGGAAACUGCCCGAUGGAGGGGGAUAACUACUGGAAACGGUAGCUAAUACCGCAUACCAUCGGAUGUGCCCAGAUGGGAUUAGCUAGUAGGUGGGGUAAUGGCUCACCUAGGCGACGAUCCCUAGCUGGUCUGAGAGGAUGACCAGCAAAACGGGAACGGAGACACUGGCAAGACUCCUACGGGAGGCAGCAGGGGGGAAUAUUGCACAAGGGGGGAAAGCCUGAGGCAGCCAGGCCGCGUGUAUGAAGAGGGCCUUCGGGUUGUAAAGUACUUUCAGCGAGGAGGCGUUACUCGCAGAAGAAGCACCGGCUAACUCCGUGCCAGCAGCCGCGGUAAUUC